AUGUUUAGUGCGACCCUACAGGUUGGUUACUCCAUAAGGUUUGAGGAUUGUACCUCAGAGAAAACAAUGAUUAAAUACAUGACUGAUGGAAUGCUUUUGAGGGAGUUUCUUGGAGAACCAGAUUUGGCUGGCUAUAGUGUUGUCAUGGUUGAUGAGGCUCAUGAGCGCACGCUGUCUACUGAUAUCUUGUUUGGUUUGGUUAAGGACAUUGCUAGGUUUCGUCCAGACCUGAAGUUGCUCAUUUCAAGUGCAACCCUUGACGCAGAAAAAUUUAGCGACUACUUUGAUUCAGCUCCUAUUUUCAAGAUUCCUGGGAGGCGAUACCCUGUUGAAGUACAUUAUACAAAAGCUCCAGAAGCAGAUUACAUUGAUGCUGCCAUUGUCACUAUUUUACAGAUACAUGUGACA
rnacentral:rRNA from 1 species